rnacentral:rRNA from 1 species
UUUUAUGGAGAGUUUGAUCCUGGCUCAGGAUAAACGCUGGCGGCGUGCCUAAUACAUGCAAGUCGAGCGAACGGACGAGAAGCUUGCUUCUCUGAUGUUAGCGGCGGACGGGUGAGUAACACGUGGAUAACCUACCUAUAAGACUGGGAUAACUUCGGGAAACCGGAGCUAAUACCGGAUAAUAUUUUGAACCGCAUGGUUCAAAAGUGAAAGACGGUCUUGCUGUCACUUAUAGAUGGAUCCGCGCUGCAUUAGCUAGUUGGUAAGGUAACGGCUUACCAAGGCAACGAUGCAUAGCCGACCUGAGAGGGUGAUCGGCCACACUGGAACUGAGACACGGUCCAGACUCCUACG